rnacentral:rRNA from 1 species
GUGGCGCACGGGUGCGUAACGCGUGAGCAACCUGCCCAUAUCAGGGGGAUAGCCCGGAGAAAUCCGGAUUAACACCGCAUGACACUGCUUUCCGGCAUCGGGAGGCGGUCAAAUAUUCAUAGGAUAUGGAUGGGCUCGCGUGACAUUAGCUAGUUGGUGGGGUAACGGCCCACCAAGGCGACGAUGUCUAGGGGCUCUGAGAGGAGAAUCCCCCACACUGGUACUGAGACACGGACCAGACUCCUACGGGAGGCAGCAGUAAGGAAUAUUGGUCAAUGGGGGCAACCCUGAACCAGCCAUGCCGCGUGCAGGACGACUGCCCUAUGGGUUGUAAACUGCUUUUGUUAGGGAAUAAACCCCGCUACGUGUAGCGGGCUGAAUGUACCUAAAGAAUAAGGAUCGGCUAACUCCGUGCCAGCAGCCGCGGUAAUACGGAGGAUCCGAGCGUUAUCCGGAUUUAUUGGGUUUAAAGGGUGCGUAGGCGGCACUUUAAGUCAGGGGUGAAAGACGGCAGCUCAACUGUCGCAGUGCCCUUGAUACUGAAGUGCUUGAAUGCGGUUGAAGACGGCGGAAUGAGACAAGUAGCGGUGAAAUGCAUAGAUAUGUCUCAGAACACCGAUUGCGAAGGCAGCUGUCUAAGCCGUUAUUGACGCUGAUGCACGAAAGCGUGGGGAUCGAACAGGAUUAGAUACCCUGGUAGUCCACGCCCUAAACGAUGAUGACUCGAUGUUUGCGAUAUACCGUAAGCGUCCAAGCGA